rnacentral:rRNA from 1 species
UACGAAGGGGGCUAGCGUUGUUCGGAAUUACUGGGCGGAAAGCGUAUGUAGGCGGAUCUUUAAGUCAGGGGUGAAAUCCCGAGGCUCAACCUCGGAACUGCCUUUGAUACUGGGGAUCUUGAGUCCGGGAGAGGUUAGUGGAACUGCGAGUGUAGAGGUGAAAUUCGUAGAUAUCUGGAGGAACACCGGUGGCGAAGGCGGCAUCCUGGACCGGCAUUGACGCUGAGGAGCGAAAGCCAGGGGAGCAAACGGG